rnacentral:rRNA from 1 species
GUCUACGGCUAUGCCACUCUGAACAUGCCCAACCUCGUCUGAUCUUGGAAGCUAAGCAGGGUCGGGCCUGGUUAAUACUUGGAUGGGAGACCACCUAGGAAGACCAAGUGCUGUAGGUG